CUAGCGGCAGGCCUAACACAUGCAAGUCGAGGGGCAGCACAAAGAUAGUUUACUAUUUUGGUGGCGACCGGCGCACGGGUGAGUAACGCGUAUGCAACCUACCUUAUACAGGAGUAUAGCCCGAAGAAAUUCGGAUUAAUCCUCCAUAGUAUUUUCUAAUGGCAUCAUUUGGAAAAUUAAAGCUUCGGCGGUAUAAGAUGGGCAUGCGUCCUAUUAGCUAGAUGGUAAGGUAACGGCUUACCAUGGCAACGAUAGGUAGGGGGCCUGAGAGGGUGAUCCCCCACACUGGUACUGAGACACGGACCAGACUCCUACGGGAGGCAGCAGUGAGGAAUAUUGGGCAAUGGAGGCAACUCUGACCCAGCCAUGCCGCGUGCAGGAAGAAUGCCCUAUGGGUUGUAAACUGCUUUUAUUUAGGAAUAAACCCUUCUACGUGUAGAAGGCUGAAUGUACUAAACGAAUAAGCACCGGC
rnacentral:rRNA from 1 species